GGCCGUUGCUCCCUUAUAUGGGCAGGAGGCGGGGCGAAUCUGAUUGGUCCGAACAUCUGCCAUUCACCAUUACAUGGUAUAAUGGGAUUGCUUACGUCACAGGGCCUCCAAAGGUCCUUAAGCUUAAUACCAUAGAGGUCACCUAGUCACAUGACCCGCAGGUCCUACAACGCUAUGGAAACAAGUUUUCCCAGGUUGCAGUGGGAUAAUGGGACUUGUAGUUGGAGGAAGGGAACUCCAACAGGAAAUGGACAGUUCACAAAAUGAUAGCCACAGCAUUAUAGUGGACUCCCAACAAAGCCAUGUAUCCUUCCUAAGCAUGUCCAUUACUGUCUGGCAAGGAGGCUAAGAUCACCACCAUGUCCGUCUGCCAACUAUCAAGCCUGAAUUAUUCUCCAUUAAUGUUAUCUUGAAAAACGUAUGCAGCCAUGUGAGGGGAAUUAGGGAUUAAUUAAUAAACUAUUGUGAUACA